CGUAGGAGGCGAGCGUUAUCCGGAUUCACUGGGCGUAAAGCGCGUGCAGGUGGCGCGGUAAGUUGGGCGUGAAAUCUCCCGGCUCAACUGGGAGGGGUCGUCCAAUACUACCGUGCUAGAGAGCAGAAGAGGAAGAUGGAAUUCCCGGUGUAGUGGUGAAAUGCGUAGAUAUCGGGAGGAACACCAGUGGCGAAGGCGAUCUUCUGUCUGUUUCUGACACUCAGACGCGACAGCUAGGGUAGUAAACGGGAUUAGAGACCCCGGUAAUCCUAGCCGUAAACGAUGUGAACUUGGCGUUGGUGGGUUAAACUCCAUCAGUGCCGCAGCAAACGCGAUAAGUUCACCGCCUGGGGACUACGGCCGCAAGGUUA
rnacentral:rRNA from 1 species